ACACGUCUACAUUAGAUACCCGUGUAGUCCCAGCCGUAAACUAUGCGCGUUAGGUGUAUCGGUGACCACGGGUUACCGAGGUGCCGAAGGGAAACCGUGAAACGUGCCGCCUGGGAAGUACGGUCGCAAGGCUGAAACUUAAAGGAAUUGGCGGGGAGCACCACAACGGGUGGAGCCUGCGGUUUAAUUGGACUCAACGCCGGGAAGCUCACCGGAUAAGACAGCGGAAUGAUUGCCGGGCUGAAGACUCUGCAUGACUAGCUG
rnacentral:rRNA from 1 species